rnacentral:lncRNA from 1 species
UGCUUAGAGUGUGUUCAUUUCCACUUGAAAAUGCUUUCCAAAAAUUGUGCUGUGUAUCACUGGUUAUUUUGAUGCUCUGAUCACUUCACUUCAGAUUCUUAAAAGUGAUACUUGAAAUUAUAGUAGAACUCUUGCUAGUUUGUGGUUAGACCCCUUCAUUCUCUGAUGCCUUUCGGAAUCAAGAUUAGAGAAGGCUGUGGAGAAUGCUGUUGUAGACUUCCUAAAAUACACUCAGUAGAAAAGGUGCAAGGGAUUGCCCUGUAAUAAGGGGUUUCCAUCUUUUUAGGGAAAAAUCUGAUGAAAAGAAGUGCCGUAGAUGUCUCAUGGAGGAGAAAUAGGAGUCACAUUUUCCCUAGACAGAGGCCUAGAGAUAAAUGUGUGGCAGAAUUCCCCAUAAAGCCCUUUAAAAGCUGUAACAAACUAAUAGCAAUAUGUUUCAUAGUAUCCUGCCCUCCUCCUGAACUGCUGUGCGGCUACUCCUGUAGCACAGUACAUGGGAAUUUAUUAAGAGACAAAUUUUUGAAGACUGUGUUAUGUUUUCACUAUAAUUGUGCAUAAUAGGAUAUCUCCCAACUUGCAGCACUGCAAUAUCAAAAUUCAGCCAGAGAAACCAGAAGGCAGGAAGGCAGCAUAAUACAGUGUAAUAAUGCAGGACGUAGCUAGCUGUUCUAGAACUACACAUGACAUGUGCAUUAAAUGACAAUUGUUGGGUGAGUAGAUAUGGUGGGGCCUUGUGCCAUUUGUGUAAGAAUGCCAGAAGGUAAGAGCUUCUUAGAGAAAGGAGUGGAAGGAGUAGGAGGCAGUUCCACUGAUCUGAUACCUUUAAUGGGCUUAGAGUUGUGGUGUGGGAAAGUGCAUAGGAUAUCUUUUCUAUUUUUCUUAGCAUUCUUAUUCUAUCUAUCAAUUAUAGAGGGGAAUAGGAAGUUCAGAAUGUGUUAAUAGGAAGUGAUUGUGAUCCUAGAAAACACGAUGGUGGAUUCAGGCUUUCUCUAGAGAAGAAAGGAGGUAAGAAAAAAAGAGUUGAAUUCCAGCUGUUUAUGAUGAGAGAGUACACCAGUGACCUCUUAAAUGAUUCUGUGUUAUUACUUCGAAAGGACCUUCAAAGAUCAUCGAAUCAAACUGCCUAACUGCUUCAGAGCUAGCUGAAAGCUAAAGCAUGUUAAUGAGGGCAUUAUCCAAAUAUCUUUUUUAAUAUCUCAAACAUGGGGUAUCAGCCCCCUCGUGGAGAUUUCCUCUAGGAAACCUGAUCCACUGUUUGACCAUCCUUACAGUAAAUAUUAUUUUUUUUUCCUAUUUGAUCUCCAUCCUAUUUCUACUGCUAUGUUGGAGUAAAGGGAGUGGAAAACCAACCUUGCAGGGCACUUUGACUUAGGGAGCCUCUAGCUGCUAAAACUCUCUCGUAGUCCUCUCAGCACCACAUACAUUUUUUCCUGACAACACCGAGAGUGAGCUGAAGUGUGUAUGCUUACAGCUGGUGGGCAUUUCAAACAGUUAAUUUGUAUAAACAUGUAUUUGAUAAAUCUGGGAAUAAUGUCCAGCAGCUGGUUAGAAAUCUACUGGGCAGCAGUCCAGAUUUUAACAGUUUUUGCUGAACUAGAAAAAUGACUCUAGAACUCUAGAUAGGUAAAGCCAGGGCCCCAUAGGAACUGUAUCCCUAGGCAAAUUUUGCUUCAAGAUGUGCCAUUAUGAGAAAGGAUGUUGAGGGCCCCUAAUGACAGAUACAUUGUCAAAUAUCUUCCUGUUCAGUUUCUCUUAGCUGCCUUUAUUCCUAGAAGCCCUAGUAAAGCUUUAAACAAUAAGGACUUCCCUCUCUUGGCUUCCAUUUAAUAAAACAGUAUAGCUCUGGUGCUCUUUUGAGGAAAAUCAGUUGACUGCGUUAGGACCAGAAUAGAUGUUGAUUCUGGGCAGGGGUCUGGAAGUGGUCCAGUGGAGAUGAGCAGAAACAUUAGCCUCUUUAAUUGGAAGUAUGUAAGCAGUGAACUUAGAGGGUUUUUUUUGUUGUUGUUGUUUUUUUUUACUUCAAAAGUGGCAAGACAAGUUAGUCUAAAGACACCUGUCACAGUCUGAAAAGUCAGUGAGGUGGUCUGCUGGGACUUCAGUUGCUGCUGACAAUUAGCAAGCAGGGUAUCUUCAUGGCUCAGAUGAACUGCUGUUUUUCUACUGAGGUUAAAUAAACGUUGGUAUUUUUGAUUACUUUUGCUACGUAUUUUUGAAGUUCUACUGCUCUAGUUGCUUUUCUGUAAGUAAACCUGUAAGUAAAAAGUAAAAAGUAAACCUUUUCUGUACCUUUCAAGUUCAUUGUCAGCUUUGAAUACAGUAGCCUAGGAGCCCUGUUAUAAAACAUGACCUUUUCGUUAAAUCUUUACAGAAAGACUGUGAAAUAUGAAUCAAAUAAAGUACAUAGUUGAAAAGUAUAUGGCUUGGUCUAGUGCUGUUGAACUGCCAAGUCCUUGAUUCCAAAUCAUGCUUUACUUAUUUCCACAAGACCAUGUUCCCUGUGUGGGAAAGUGCAGAUCCAAAAGUGAUACUAUGAUUUCUUACUGAAGAGUGACAUGUGAGCUUUAACAGUGUAUAUGAAUUAAAGGAUUUCUGGGAGGAGCCUGACUCAGAGUGCCCUGUACAGAGCUCUAAAAAUAUAUUGCAGUGCGUGACCAUUGCCAUAGAUCCAUCAUGAAAACUUGGAAGAAUUUUUCGGUUUCUUAACUGUUACUUCCAUGUGAUGACUGUACAUUAUGCUCACCGUCUGUGCAGGGCGAACUCCUACACUAGCUUAAUCUGCCAGCCAAAUAUGCGUAAGGUCUGAAUUGUGAAGGGUAUGGAUAGUUUGUUACCAAAAGGAUAACUUGGGUGAAAAAAUGUAGUCCCUCUCUUGGAGGAGAAUGCUCAUCAACUAAAUCUGUAUCCCAGAUUUUCAAUAAAACAUGUUUUU